UGUCAUAUCGCAAUAAAACACCGGUUUCCAUACGAUCACCGAAGUUAAGCAACGUCGAACCUAGUCAGAACCUAGGUAGGAGACCGCUUGGGAAUACAGAUGUUGUAA